rnacentral:rRNA from 1 species
CAGCCGCCGCGGUAAUACAGAGGAUGCAAGCGUUAUCCGGAAUGAUUGGGCGUAAAGCGUCUGUAGGUGGCUUUUCAAGUCCGCCGUCAAAUCCCAGGGCUCAACCCUGGACAGGCGGUGGAAACUACCAAGCUGGAGUACGGUAGGGGCAGAGGGAAUUUCCGGUGGAGCGGUGAAAUGCGUAGAGAUGUGGAGGAACACCAGUGGCGAAGGCGACUCUCUGGUCUGUAACUGACGCUGAGGAGUGAAAGCGUGGGGAGCGAACAGGAUUAGAUACCCCGGUAGUCCCUGUCUCUUAUAA